UUUGAUGCAGCUCCUUUGCUAACCGACUCAGUCCAGUAUAUGACUGAGAAACCACUGUAAUUCCAUUUCUUUUCUCAUUCUGCAAAUUCUACACACCAAAAGCAGACGCCCAUCCAAACACAAAUCAUCCACAGCAAUAAACCACAUCAGUUCACAGCAAAGAAGGUUAAGCUGUGAUGCAGAUGGAUGUCAGCAGAGCAAAGCUUUUGAUAUAUAAGUACCCAAUUAGGCUCAGGAUUCCAUGUCUUCAUACAUGUAAUCCACUUAAGCUAUUCCGCUGCAACGCUUAGUGCGUUUUACUUUAUUGAUGUGUUGCAAAGAUUUCAAACUAAUAGCUUACAGAAUUAUGUCACUUGAUACUUAGACAACUUGUCGUUAUGUAUUGUGAGUUGUCUGCUUUUGAGUUUUAGAAAAGAUUGUUUAUGAUUACCAAAUAUUUUGGUAAAUUAUUGUUUAAGCAGGUUAGUGAUUUUUAUUGAGAUCUA